AAAGAAAUAUUUUAUGAAAGCUUCUAACUUUUUCUAAAGCAUUAAAUUGUUUAU
rnacentral:tRNA from 1 species